AUUGAGCGCUGGCGGAAUGCUUUACACAUGCAAGUCGAACGGCAGCACUGGAGCUUGCUCCUGGUGGCGAGUGGCGAACGGGUGAGUAAUAUAUCGGAACGUAUCCAAUAAUGGGGGAUAACUAAGCGAAAGCUUGGCUAAUACCGCAUACGCCCUGAAGGGGAAAGCUAGGGAUCUUCGGACCUGGCGUUGAUGGAGCG
rnacentral:rRNA from 1 species